UACGUAGGGUGCGAGCGUUGUCCGGAAUUACUGGGCGUAAAGAGCUCGUAGGUGGUUUGUCGCGUUGUUCGUGAAAACUCACAACUCAAUUGUGGGCGUGCGGGCGAUACGGGCAGACUGGAGUACUGCAGGGGAGACUGGAAUUCCUGGUGUAGCGGUGAAAUGCGCAGAUAUCAGGAGGAACACCGGUGGCGAAGGCGGGUCUCUGGACAGUUCCUGACGCUGAGGCACGAAGGUCAGGGGAGCAAACGGG
rnacentral:rRNA from 1 species